rnacentral:rRNA from 1 species
UGUGGGAAUUUACCUCAAACUAUGGGAUAACACAGAGAAAUUUGUGCUAAUACCAUAUGUGUCCAUUAAAAGGGAUUUUAAUGGGGAAAGAUUUAUCGGUUUGAGAUAAGCCCGCGUUGGAUUAGCUAGUUGGUAGGGUAAUGGCCUACCAAGGCGACGAUCCAUAGCUGGUCUGAGAGGAUGAUCAGCCACACUGGGACUGAGACACGGCCCAGACUCCUACGGGAGGCAGCAGUGGGGAAUAUUGGACAAUGGGCGCAAGCCUGAUCCAGCCAUGCCGCGUGAGUGAUGACGGCCUUAGGGUUGUAAAGCUCUUCACCGGAGAAGAU